GACGAACGCUGGCGGCGUGCUUAACACAUGCAAGUCGAACGGAAAGGCCCUGCUUUUGUGGGUUGCUCGAGUGGCGAACGGGUGAGUAACACGUGAGUAACCUGCCCUUGACUUUGGGAUAACUUCAGGAAACUGGGGCUAAUACCGGAUAGGAGCUCCUGCUGCAUGUUGGGGGUUGGAAAGUUUCGGCGGUUGGGGCUGGACUCGCGGCUUAUCAGCUUGUUGGUGGGGUAGUGGCUUACCAAGGCUUUGACGGGUAGCCGGCCUGAGAGGGUGACCGGCCACAUUGGGACUGAGAGACGGCCCAGACUCCUACGGGAGGCAGCAGUGGGGAAUAUUGCACAAUGGGCGGAAGCCUGAUGCAGCAACGCCGCGGGCGGGAUGACGGCCUUCGGGUUGUAAACCGCUUUCGCCUGUGACGAAGCGUGAGUGACGGUAAUGGGUAAAGAAGCACCGGCUAACUACGUGC
rnacentral:rRNA from 1 species